rnacentral:lncRNA from 1 species
GCUUUUAAGUGAUUAAAUGAGGUUUUUAUCACUUUUUACUUGGAUUUUGUGUAUUUUGACAGUUUUGACACAUUUUCGUAUUUCGGCUAUAACUUGAGUUACAAUGAUCGGAUUGGGAUGAUUCUUGAACCCAUUUGAAGAUAAGAGAUAGAUCUACAACUUUGGUGAAGACAUCCGAAUCCAGUUUAAAGGUUUUCAAAAUCAAAAAGCCGAAUUACAUUAGCUAAUUUCUGUUGGUCGAAGCUGAAACAGGGCAAUGAGCAGACAAGGGUAUUUCAGUCAUAUCUCAGCCUACACAGAUCUAAAUGAGGUGAUUCUUGAUGCAUUGGAAAGAUAACUCAAAAGGCUACAACUUUCGUGUUUUACACAUGAGCUGGUUCAGCCUCUAAUAUCAAGAAACGAUCGGUUGAAGUUGGGCCAAAAACAGAGCAAGUGAUCCACACUCGGAUCCAUUAUUCAUCCGAACCCUCGGCUGUUUCUGGGUUAGUGGAUCCGAGGCACUAUAGCAGCUCGGAUCACUGGUCAAAAAAUGCUGCUUUAUACGCGUAAAACUCAAUUUCACCUCCACCAACUCACAUGUGAUGCUAGACAUGUGAGAGACAUUACCAGCUGUAAGGAGAAAGUGUAAAGCUUCAUUUCUUGACCACCUUUCAUCAUUAAAUAGCCAAAUUCAUUGCAAAAUGGGAGAAUGGUAUGAUAGAGUAAGAGAUAGAGAGACAUACGGGAGAAGCUUGGAGUCUGCAGAAAUGUAGCUCUUUCAUCUUCCUAGUAUUAGUUUAGCUUAGUAUAGAGUAGUAUAGUUCAACCAUUCUUGUUUAUUAUCUAGAUUAGGAUGAAGAUGGAGGAUGAAGAUGGCAAGGAAGAAAGCUCAUGUGACAAGGGUUGUAUUCCUUCCAAACUCUUUAUCUUUUGUAUUUGAUUCCAAGUUUAGUUAAUAUACAAGUUCUGG